rnacentral:lncRNA from 1 species
AUGAAGAUGAAGACCUCCCAUGUGCUGUGGAUCGGGAUCUUUCUGUCGGGAUUUAGGGAUUCAGAUGGAAUUGAUAUACCUGGAUAUUUCGGAAAAGAUGCCACCAUCACAUGUUCCCACGGCUGGGCUUCAACCAAUAUAAAGUAUUUCUGCAGAGCUCCAUGUAAAGACGAAGAUAUUUUAGUGAAAUCUGACCAGUCACCUACAGGAAGAUACACACUGAAGGAUUCAGGAGAUGGCACCUUCACUGUGAACAUCACUGAUCUACAGGAGUCAGACUCUGGGAUUUACUGGUGUGGGGUGGAGAGAACUGGUUUAGACACAUAUACAAAAGUCAAACUGACAGUAUCUAAAGAUCCACGCGAAAGCAUCACUACAUCAACAGAACCAUACACAUACAUACAAACAUCCACAGAUUCACACACAGUUACACCAGAAGCUCAUUCACAAUCAACAUCUGUCACAGCACGCAAAACCACCAGCUAUUCAAGCCCUGAUGACAUCACACUCUCACCCUCAAUAGCAGCAUCUGUGAACACUACCAUAUACAUACUAUAUGCUGUCGGUGGUCUGCUCUUAGCAGUAAUCAUGCUUGCAGUUGGACUGAUGACUGUUCAUCAAUACAGGAAAAAAAACAAGACAUCAGAAAGCUUCACGCUGCCCAACCAAAGCAAAGAUAACAAGAAUGAAGGUGUAUAUGAGAAUGAUCUUCCUUGGACAAAAAGCACACAGGUGAAACCUAUCAACAUGUCUAUGACCAGACAAGUGAAAAAGAGCCAAGAAGAUGCAGUCUACGGGAAUUCACAUGAACUUUAUGGAAAUCUCUGACCAUAUUGUUAAGCAAUGAAAUUCAGAGAACCAGUUUAAACCUGAUUGUUAUAAGAUCAAAAUCACAUUGAUUCUGUUUCUUUCCCUUUCGCUUUAUAUAUAUAUACAUUUGUCAUUCCACUUGUAGACAAUUCCUGCUCCUGAGUUUAUUUUGUAGAAUCAUAUUUCACAUGGAUGUUUGGUUGUAUUUUGCAUUACUACUCAUAUCAAUAUAAAAAUAUUACCAUUAUACAGAUAAAAUAAAACUUUAUAAUCUGUAUGUGUGUUUUUCUCAACAAUUUGCAUAUUUAUUUAUUAAUUAGCUAAGUAGUAUUGUGCAGUGUACUUCUCAAAGUCAUCUUUAAAGCUGCUGUGUAAUUUUAUGCUGAAACCAU